GAUGAAGAACGUAGCGAAAUGCGAUAAGUAAUGUGAAUUGCAGAAUUCAGUGAAUCAUCGAAUCUUUGAACGCACCUUGCACCCUUUGGCAUCCCGAAGGGUAUGCUCGUUUGAGUGUCAUUGUACUCUCACUCUCCCGAUGCUUUUGGAUCGGGAGUGGUGGACUUGGGUGUUGCUGCUUUGCUGUGGCUCGCCUCAAAUGGAGUAGUGCAACUCUUGGUUGGACAUAGUACGGCGUGAUAAGUGUCUGCGCCGGCGCCUCAUUAUAGAGGGUGGCCGAUCGGGAGCUCUGUGCUUCAAACCGUCUUCGGACAACAUCUGACAACUUGACCUCAAAUCGAGUAGGACUACCCGCUGAACUUAAGCAUAUCAAUAAGCGGAGGA
rnacentral:misc_RNA from 1 species